rnacentral:rRNA from 1 species
UUGACCUCAAAUCAGGUAGGACUACCCGCUGAACUUAAGCAUAUCAAUAAGCGGGAGGAAAAGAAACUAACAAGGAUUCCCCUAGUAACUGCGAGUGAAGCGGGAAGAGCUCAAAUUUGAAAUCUGGCGGUCCUUGGCCGUCCGAGUUGUAAUCUAGAGAAGUGCUACCUGUGCUGGACCGUGUACAAGUCUCCUGGAAUGGAGCAUCGCAGAGGGUGAGAAUCCCGUCUUUGACACGGACUGCCAUGUACGUCAUGGUGCGCUCUCGAAGAGUCGAGUUGUUUGGGAAUGCAGCUCAAAAUGGGUGGUAAAUGCCAUCUAAAGCUAAAUAUUGGCGAGAGACCGAUAGCGAACAAGUACCGUGAGGGAAAGAUGAAAAGAACUUUGGAAAGAGAGUUAAACAGUACGUGAAAUUGCUGAAAGGGAAACGCUUGAAGUCAGUCGCGUCGGCCAGAAAUCAGCCUUUGCUUUUGCUUGGUGUACUUUCUUGGUUGAUGGGUCAGCAUCAAUUUCGACCAUCGGAUAAAGUCGUCGGGAAUGUGGCAUCUUCGGAUGUGUUAUAGCCCGGCGUCGCAUACGGUGGUUGGGAUUGAGGAACUCAGCACGCCGAAAGGCCGGGUCUCUCGAGACCACGUCCGUGCUUAGGAUGCUGGCAUAAUGGCUUUAAUCGACCCGUCUU